rnacentral:tRNA from 13 species
UGGAGGCGCCGAUCGACCCGGUACCUCUCGCAUGCGAAGCGAGCGCUCUACCAUCUGAGCUACGCCCCU